rnacentral:tRNA from 2 species
GUUCCGAUGGCUCAGCUUGGUAGAGCGCCGUUUCGACAAGACGGAGGACCCUGGUUCAAAUCCAGGUCGGAACAC